GGUAAAGACAGAAGAAAAGAGUUCAUUAUGUCCAGUUAAUCAAAAAGAUUUUCUCUCAUUGAGAGAAUCAGCAUUUACUCUAGGAGAGAUUUGGAGAUCAUGUUGUUCUGUCUCCUCAUUUUUCAGAGAAAAAGAGACCUAUCCAGAGAGUCUUCUAAAUGCAACAACACCAACACCACCUGCACUGUUUACUAUCCAAGACAAAGGCUUUGGAGAAAUGUGUGGUCCUCUUGCCUUACAUCCUCCACUCUCAGGUACCCCUGCUACUGAGAACAACAUCCAUGCCCAAGUGGUAACUGCCAACAUGGGUCAGCAUCUCACCUCUGAGUAAUAAGGAAGUCCACGACAGAGACCUGAAAUCCCAUGGUGAAAUAUCUACCCAAGGGUCUUGGAUGCUCAAGGAGAGCUGCAGAAGAGCUAAACUUCAACAGAUUUUGGUGCUUCCAGGCCAGAAGUUUUAUACACAUAAAAAGAAAUACCUGUCUUACCUGAGUUGUAAUAAUCAUAACAAGUAUGAAGAGUCGUCAGUCAAAAACAAUGAUUAGACUGGGUUACCCUUGACUUUCCAAACAUAAUGCAGGGCAGAACUUUUCCUGAAAACCCUGAAGUUCAGAUGUUUACAAUUACAGGCAAUGAGGCUCAAAGAGCCAGCCUCAUGGAUCACUUGUGUUUUAUUUUUGGUUUUGUUUUCAUUAGAUGCAACACUGAGCUGAGCCAUGUGCCUUCCCAGGAAUUGCACAAUCUCAGCUUUUAGAGAUUGUGUUUCAUGGUCAUGGAAAAAAAUAAUUGGAUUUAAUAGGUUUUCACAAUCAUAUUAUCUACUUAACCUUCCAAGAUCGUUACUCAUUUAAUUGUAAACCCCAAGAAAAGAUCAUAAGGUAGGGGCUAUACUAGACAGCCAUAACAAUAAAGAAAAAUUUUUUUCACAAUUGUAUAUGUAAUAUACAUUUCACAAAUCUAUAUGUAAUAUCAAAAGUCAAUUUUAAAUGUUUUAACUUAAGCCCCUUGAAUUUGAAAUAAUUGUGCUCUUUUGGUAAUUAUUCCCAAUACAAAAAUGGUACUUGCAUGAUAAUGUUUAUGUAUUUAUACACAAACAUAUAUUUACCUAUGACAUUUAUGUAGCUACUUAGAAACAGAUCAUAUAGGUCAAAAGUGACAUAAUAAAGCCUCCAGCUGUGGGUAGCAAAGUUUUGUAUUUUAUUUUGUUCUGUGGCUUAGAUGCAAAUACUCUCCUUCCUUGUAAAAGAGUAACUCUAACUAGUGAUUUCAAGGUCAUUAAAGCCUUGUGCCCUGAUAGGAGGUUGGACAGCACACAAAACACAUCCUCCAUGGGGUUAGGGUCCUGCAGGAACUGAAUUCUCCAUACCAAAACAGGUUAUUUGGCUUGUUUAAUUAGUUGUUCUAUAAAUUAGAGCUUCUUCAAGCUCCAGAAGAAGUUUCCCAUCUUGACACUGUCUAAAGAAAAAUCUUAAAUGAAAAAAUUAUUCUCAAUCUGGUUCUUAUUCUCUCAUUUAUUUCUACAGGAUUAAAGCAAAAAUAAAAGCACUUUUUUUACUCCCA